rnacentral:rRNA from 1 species
AUUGGACGCUGGCGGCAUGCUUUACACAUGCAAGUCGAACGGUAACAGGCCGCAAGGUGCUGACGAGUGGCGAACGGGUGAGUAAUGUAUCGGAACGUGCCCAGUCGUGGGGGAUAACGCAGCGAAAGCUGUGCUAAUACCGCAUACGAUCUAUGGAUGAAAGCGGGGGACCGUAAGGCCUCGCGCGAUUGGAGCGGCCGAUAUCAGAUUAGGUAGUUGGGGGGUAAAGGCUCACCAAGCCGACGACCUGUAGCUGGUCUGAGAGGACGACCAGCCACACUGGGACUGAGACACGGCCCAGACUCCUACGGGAGGCAGCAGUGGGGAAUUUUGGACAAUGGGCGCAAGCCUGAUCCAGCAAUGCCGCGUGCAGGACGAAGGCCUUCGGGUUGUAAACUGCUUUUGUACGGAGCGAAACGGCCCUCUCUAAUAAAGAGGGCUAAUGACGGUACCGUAAGAAUAAGCACCGGCUAACUACGUGCCAGCAGCCGCCGUAA